rnacentral:rRNA from 1 species
GUUGAACGCUGGCGGCAUGCUUUACACAUGCAAGUCGAACGGUAACAGGGAGCUUGCUCCGCUGACGAGUGGCGAACGGGUGAGUAAUGCAUCGGAACGUGCCUAUUUGUGGGGGAGUAACGUAGCGAAAGUUACGCUAAUACCGCAUACGCCCUCGAGGGGGAAAGGACGGGGAGUUCGUAAGAACCUCGCGCAAUUAGAGCGGCCGAUGUCGGAUUAGCUAGUUGGUGGGGUAAAGGGCUCACCAAGGACGACGAUCCGUAGCGGGUCGUGAGAGGAUGAUCCGCCACACUGGGACUGAGACACGGCCCACGACUCCUACGGGAGGC